UUGAAUUGAAUGAAAACUUUGCCUACUACAUACACAUGAUAUGUUACAGUAUUACAUUGUCAUUGUCCUUAUUGUUGUAUUGUUCUUAUGUUCCUCCUGUUAAUGUACCCACAGGGUAAUGUCCCUCCUGAUGCUAGUACUGAUACUCAUGAGAUACCAAGAAGAACUAAACUAGCUCAACAACAAUUUGAUUCAUUCAUUAAAAGUGGAUUAAUUAUUAAUUAUUGUAAUGGACCAUGUACUGACUGUACUGAACCAUCAUAACUAAUAAUAAUGUAUUAUACUACUCUUUUAUAAUGGCCGUUUAUAUAUUU